rnacentral:rRNA from 1 species
UGGGAAUUUUGGACAAUGGGCGAAAGCCUGAUCCAGCCAUGCCGCGUGCGGGAAGAAGGCCUUCGGGUUGUAAACCGCUUUUGUCAGGGAAGAAACGGUCUGGGCUAAUACCUCGGACUAAUGACGGUACCUGAAGAAUAAGCACCGGCUAACUACGUGCCAGCAGCCGCGGUAAUACGUAGGGUGCAAGCGUUAAUCGGAAUUACUGGGCGUAAAGCGUGCGCAGGCGGCUUUGCAAGACAGAUGUGAAAUCCCCGGGCUCAACCUGGGAACUGCAUUUGUGACUGCAAGGCUGGAGUGCGGCAGAGGGGGAUGGAAUUCCGCGUGUAGCAGUGAAAUGCGUAGAUAUGCGGAGGAACACCGAUGGCGAAGGCAAUCCCCUGGGCCUGCACUGACGCUCAUGCACGAAAGCGUGGGGAGCAAACAGGAUUAGAUACCCUGGUAGUCCACGCCCUAAACGAUGUCAACUGGUUGUUGGACGGCUUGCUGUUCAGUAACGAAGCUAACGCGUGAAGUUGACCGCCUGGGG